rnacentral:tRNA from 1 species
GAAGAGGUGGCUGAGUGGUUUAAAGCGGUAGACUGUAAAUCUAUUGAUUAAAAAUCUUCGUGGGUUCGAAUCCUACUCUCUUCA